UACACGUACAGUCUUCCUUCCAUUUUCUUUUGUUCAACACAGAUGGCCCCCCUUUUUUUUUUAAAACUAUCAUUCACAAAUGAAAUAAAAUAAUUGAAACUUAUCCCCUUUUACUAACUAUUAUGCCUACACGUACCUACCACCUGUUCCAUUAAAAAAAGGCAUGCUUUAGAUUAAAAAUAAUGUUAAAAGGAGAGUACGUAUUUUUUCUUAAGAAAGAAACAAGAGAAGAGAGCACAAAUCUCCUUCCAAAACUCGUCGCCUCUCUCUUCCGCAAGUUCUCAACCAAGAACAUCCCAGAUUUUAUUUUUUUUUUUUUAAUUUGCAACACUGGAUCUGAAGAUUACAGAAGCACCCACCAAUUAACUCUCUAUCUCUCCCUCGACUUCUCUUACAAGGAGACAAAACAAGAUCCCCAAAUUUGUCAAGCAGGAUCGCGUCGUGGUUCGCCCGCUUCGUCACCGCUCAGGUGUGGUCCAUAUCGAGCAGUUGUUGGUCGGUUCCAAUUCGCCACUCCGCGUACACCACCGUCGUCGCUCGGCGUCACUGUUCCGGCAGCCCCGAUUCCUCCCGAUUAGCCCCGUAAGAUAAGUUCUCAAAUUUUAAUUAAGUUGAUUGUUUUAAUUCGGUUCUCGAGUUUCGAUUGACGCAAUAAGCGAUAUGCUCGAUGUUUGGAGAAUUAAUAGAGAGGGUGAGGUUUAUACCUUCGCUGAACAAAUCGGCUUUGGCAGGAGAUCGAAGCUUCAGGUUUCCCCCUUUCCGGAUUUGGUUCCAAAUUUCUGUCAAGAAAAGGUUCUGGUGUGAAAUCACCCUACGAAGAAAACAAGGGGAGACCGUGAAAAGAAGGACUACCGUGUUGAAAUUAGGAUUUGGUUGGGAAAGGAUGAGCUCCUUCUUCCUACUGCUACCUCUGCUGCCUGAGGAAAUCUUGAGGUGCAAAGUGAGAAUGAGUGACUGCGAAUUUGUGUGAGGAAAAGGGUUUAGGGUAUGGGUAUUAAUAUACCGUGUAUCGAGAAUCAUUUCUGGUGAUUGAUUUCACUUUGAUUGUGGUCACAAAUUAGGAAAGAUUUUGCAGAGGGGAAGCGAUUAUGGAGCGUGGGAGGGGAACGUAGAAUAGGUAAUUGAUUCUCAAAAUAAAAGCAAUUAAAGGUGAUUGGGGUUUAUUUUUGGUGCGGAUUGAGGAUUGGUAAAAACGCAAAUGUGCUGAAGAAAGGAGGAUUCAACGUGAAGGGGGAGGAGAAGGGUUCUGAUGUCGGAUCGAAGAAUUUAGAGUAUUGGGCUCAAGGCCCUUUUAAAAUUUUAUUUAAAUAGUGUAGCCCACAAUUCAUUCUUUAUUAGAUUGGGCUUGUAUCAAUUAUUUAAUUCUAUCAUAUGUGUUGGAAUUUAGUCUAAUAAAUAAUCCUCAAGGAAAGGAUUUAAUUAA